CGUGUUGUCUGUGCCUUGUUGAUCUGAAUUCAGAACCUAAGAUCUCGGAAUCUUCGCGGACGCAGUAUCAUGUCUGGAGAGGAACAGCCCCAGCCGUUUGCCAGCGACGAGGAGAUGAUCUCGGAAUCUUCGCG